rnacentral:rRNA from 1 species
UACGUAGGCAGCAAGCGUUGUUCGGAGUUACUGGGCGUAAAGGGUGCGUAGGCGGCUUUUUAAGUUUGGUGUGAAAUCUCCCGGCUCAACUGGGAGGGUGCGCCGAAUACUGAGAGGCUAGAGUGUGGGAGAGGAAAGUGGAAUCCUGGUGUAGCGGUGAAAUGCGUAGAUAUCAGGAGGAACGCCGGUGGUGUAAACGGCUUUCUGGACCAUAACUGACGCUGAUGCACGAAAGCGUGGGUAGCAAACAGG